GCGGUUUUAUAAGUCAGUGGUGAAAUCCGGCAGCUCAACUGUCGAACUGCCAUUGAUACUGUAGAACUUGAAUUACUUGGAAGUAACUAGAAUAUGUAGUGUAGCGGUGAAAUGCUUAGAGAUUACAUGGAAUACCAAUUGCGAAGGCAGGUUACUACGAGUAUAUUGACGCUGAGGGACGAAAGCGUGGGGAGCGAACAGGAUUAGAUACCCUGGUAGUCCACGCUGUAAACGAUGGAUACUAGCUGUUCGACGCAAGUUGAGUGGCUAAGCGAAAGUGAUAAGUAUCCCAACUGGGGAGUACGCUCGCAAGAGUGAAACUCCAAGGAAUUGACGGGGGCCCCUGCACAAAGUCGGAGGAGCAAUGUGCUUUAAUUCGAAUGAUACGCGAGGAACCUUACCAAGGCUAAAUGGGGAGUCGACAGGCGUAGAAAUAUGCUUUUCUUCGGACGAUUUUCAAGGUGCGGCAUGUUGGUCGUCAGCUCGUGCCGUGAGGUGUCAGGUUAAGUCCUAUAACGAGCGCAACGCCUGUUGUUAGUUGCCAGCGAGUAAUGUCGGGAACUCUAGCAAGACUGCCGGUGCAAACCGUGAGGAAGGUGGGGAUGACGUCAAAUCAUCACGGCCCUUACGCCUUGGGCUACACACGUGCUACAAUGGACGGUACAGAGAGCAGCCACCACGCAAGUGGGCGCGAAUCUAUAAAACCGUUCUCAGUUCGGAUCGGAGUCUGCAACUCGACUCCGUGAAGCUGGAUUCG
rnacentral:rRNA from 1 species